rnacentral:rRNA from 1 species
UACGUAGGGGGCAAGCGUUGUCCGGAAUCAUUGGGCGUAAAGCGCGUGUAGGCGGUUCAGUAAGUCCGCUCUGAAAGCCCGGGGCUCAACCCCGGGAGGCGGGUGGAUACUGCUGAACUCGAGUCCGGAAGAGGCGAGUGGAAUUCCUGGUGUAGCGGUGAAAUGCGCAGAUAUCAGGAAGAACACCAAUGGCGAAAGCAGCUUUCUGGGACGGUACUGACGCUGAGACGCGAAAGCGUGGGGAGCGAACAGG